rnacentral:rRNA from 1 species
CCUACGGGAGGCAGCAGUAGGGAAUCUUCCACAAUGGACGAAAGCCUGAUGGAGCAACGCCGCGUGAGUGAAGCAGGGCUUCGGCUCGUAAAGCUCUGUCGGUAGUGAAGAAAGAUAGAGGUAGUAACUGGCUUUUCUUUGACGGUAAUCACUUAGAAAGUCACGGCUAACUACGUGCCAGCAGCCGCGGUAAUACGUAGGUGGCAAGCGUUGUCCGGAUUUAUUGGGCGUAAAGCGAGUGCAGGCGGUUCAAUAAGUCUGAUGUGAAAGCCUUCGGCUCAACCGGAGAAUUGCAUCAGAAACUGUUGAGCUUGAGUGCAGAAGAGGAGAGUGGAACUCCAGGUGUAGCGGUGGAAUGCGUAGAUAUAUGGAGGAACACCAGUGGCGAAGGCGGCUCUCUGGUCUGCAACUGACGCUGAGGCUCGAAAGCAUGGGUAGCGAACAGGAUUAGAUACCCGGGUAGUC